GUGUUGUAUAAAAGGUGACUGUUGCUUAGCAUUUCCUUUGACAUGGACAGAAAAGGCUCUUGGGCCUUACAAAAAAAUUGAUGAUUAAAGCAUUGCCAUUUACUUAUGGUAAUAUUUUGGGGAGUGC
rnacentral:ncRNA from 1 species